UAGAGUUUGAUCCUGGCUCAGAACGAACGCUGGCGGCGUGCCUAACACAUGCAAGUCGAACGGGAAAACCCGCAAGGGUGAGUACAGUGGCGCACGGGUGCGUAACACGUGGGUAAUCUGCCCAGAAGCCCGGAAUAACUCCCCGAAAGGGGUGCUAAUGCCGGAUGAGACCACGGGGACUUCGGUUCCUGGGGGAAAAGGUGGCCUCUGUAUACAAGCUAUCACUUCUGGAUGAGCCCGCGGCCCAUCAGCUGGUUGGCGGGGUAAUGGCCCACCAAGGCUACGACGGGUAGCUGGUCUGAGAGGACGAUCAGCCACGCUGGAACUGAGACACGGUCCAGACUCCUACGGGAGGCAGCAGUGGGGAAUCUUGCGCAAUGGGCGAAAGCCUGACGCAGCAACGCCGCGUGUGUGAUGAAGGUCUUCGGAUCGUAAAGCACUGUCGGGAGGGACGAAUAAGGGCCGGGUGAACAAUCCGGUCUGACGACGGUACCUCCAGAGGAAGCACCGGCUAACUCUGUGCCAGCAGCCGCGGUAAUACAGAGGGUGCUAGCGUUGUUCGGAAUUAUUGGGCGUAAAGCGCGUGUAGGCGGCCGGCCAAGUCGGAUGUGAAAGCCCUCGGCUUAACCGAGGAAGUGCGUUCGAUACUAGCUGGCUUGAGUACCGGAGAGGGUGGUGGAAUUCCCGGUGUAGAGGUGAAAUUCGUAGAUAUCGGGAGGAACACCAGCGGCGAAGGCGACCACCUGGACGGAUACUGACGCUG
rnacentral:rRNA from 1 species